rnacentral:lncRNA from 1 species
GUACACUUUAAGGAAAUUUGUAAACAGCUUUAUUUUAAGUUUAAAAAUAAAUUUUAAACAUCUAACUUUCUUUAAUUCUUUACUAAUUCUGUUAAAAUUUAUUGACUUAAAUAUUCAAUUUAUGGCCGAUCGUUUUCGUUUGUAUUACCAUUUUUAAAAAAUCAUAAUGUGUACUAUUUAUGUGCUUAGUUAUGAACUGCUAAUGAAUCGGUUAAAAGGUCACCCCUCUUAUAAAGCCACUUUUGCGAUGUCCCUUAGGGUGACCUUAUAUCGGGGUCUGACUUUAUUUAUGUUUAUACAUAUAGAUAAUUCUCUAUGCCUUUUUAUUGCUUUUGUAGGGAAUGUUAGUUUCGUCGAAUACAUAAAACAUUUAAAAAUAAAUUUCAUUCCCCUCUGACUUGAAUAAUGAUCAGCAGUUUUAGUUGAUGUUAUAUUUAGCUGCAAUUUAGCUUCGUUUCAUCUUCAGAACUUGUUAUAAGAAGAAAAGUUUAUGUUAAACUACAAUAUUCUUUAAUCUUACCUAUAAUAUGCUUUAAUUUUCUAAACACUAACUUAUCGAAAACAUAAUAAAUGCAAGUAGAUAUUUUUUUGUAGUACAUAACGAAUGUAAGAAAGUCCUUGUUUAGAUAAUAUUUUUUAAAAUUUAAAAUCCGUACAUAACAUUAUUCCUUAAUUAUCUUUCUAGUGAAAACUGUCGGUACAGAAGAACAGAAAUCUUCUAUAAGUAGUGAAGCACAAAAAAAUAAAAUCAAGACCAUUAGGAAAAAAAAACGUGGUUGCUGAAAAUUUUCAAAUAUCUGAGUGUGAAGAUAGAGACAGCGCCUUUCCGGAAUUCAAGGGAAACCUAGAGGAUCAUAGUAAAAGUGAAAAUAAUUAUUCUAAAAAUAUCAUUUCGGGUGAAUCAACAGAUUUCGAUGAUGUGAGAAAAUGAGUUUAUUCCGAUUAUGAGUUUUCGGACUCGGAAGAUGAUCUUACUUGUACAGAAAUGCACCGUAAAAAAGAAGAAAAUCAAAAUCAUGUAAUUGUUGUGUCUACUAAUAACAUUGGUAAGUGGGAUAAAAAGCAUUAUUGCAUAUUUUGUGGGAAGCAAUUUGCAAAACUACCUCAUCCUUUCGAAAGUACUCAUGCGGACGAGGAAGAAGUCCAGUUCUUAAUGAGAUUUAAAUCGAAUGAAACUGAAAAAAAAAAGAAGAGAUGACCAACUAAUGAAAUGAAGAAAUAGAGGGACGCCUAAACAUAACAUUGAGGGAAAGGUGAUCUUAUAGUCGCCUAUCGACCUAAAGAAUCAACAAAUCCGGAAAACUACAUACCGUGCCCAGGUUGUUUUGGGUGGUAAGCGAAAAGAGACAUUUGGAAGCAUAAGUGCCCAUUUAAACAAUCUGGUGCAAGGCUGUUAAGCGAAGGACGAAUGCUAAUACCCACACCCUUUGCAGUAGAUGAAAAUGUUAAACAGUUACUGAACAGAAUGCCGCAAGAUAAAGUCUCCCUUGCAAUUCGAACAGACUAUGUCAUUCUUGAGUACAUUCGGAGGUUAUAUCACAAAACAGGAGGAGACCAACCUCACCGACAAAAUGAAAUACGCAAUAAUGCGAGGGAAAUGGGAAGACUCCUCGUACAGAUGAGGAAAGUAAAAAAAUAAAAAUUCAUGCUCCAUAAUGGACGUAACUGAUCCAGCCCAAUUUAAAAACAUAGUUGAAUCUAUCAAAAUAAUAUCAGGAAUGAGCUUCUCUGCAUCUUGCAGAUCAACUCCUGAGCUAGCUCGAAAGUUGGGCAUUCAUAUCAAAGCAUGUGCCUCCAUUGUCGAUUGAGAGAAGAGACAAAGUUCUACGGGACAGGACGGACAAUUUUCUGACCCUCUUCAAUAUGAACUUUAUAACUGAAAUCGGUGCUGAAGCAAAGCGAAUUCGAAAUAAAGCUACGAGAAAUAAAGAAGAGCUUAUUCCUCUUAGCUCAGAUGUUUUAAAACUGAGCUCUUAUCUAAAAAACUAAAUCGGAGGAAUGCCUCCAUAUUUUAGAAGAUAAGGACAGUCUCCACCAUGAAAUACUUUCCGCUUUUUCGGAGUUGCAAAAAGUGACUUUAACACAAGUCAUAGUAUUCAGUCGAAGGAGAGAGGGAGAAGUGUCAAGAAUCAAAAUAGAGGACUUCAAAAAAAUCAAAAGCUCAGCCGAAUGGUCCGACAUAAUCUUUCAGAAAAUGAAAGAGCUCUAUGUAAAAUAUUGACAAGGAUGGAAAUCUAAGGGAAGGGGGAUCGAACUGUCCCAGUUUUGCUUACACCAUCUGUCCAUAAAGCGAUUGAAGUGUGUUUGCAGAACAGAGACCGAGCUAAUAAAAACAACCCCUACUUAUUUGCAAGCCAUUCAAAUUCUGCGAAGCUGCACUAUCAGGGAGCGGCUUGUCUCCGCAAAUAUUCUGAAGAAUGUGGAGCAUCUCGCCCCGAUAGUUUAAGGUCUACUAAACUGAGAAAACAAGUUGCCUCACUUUCGCAGAUAAUUAAUUUAAAAAAAAACAUGAGAUGGAUUCCUUUGCGUCAUUCAUGGGGCAUGAUAAACGAAUACAUAGAGAAUUCUACCGGUUGCCUAACGAUAUCAUCCAAAUCGCCAAGACAUCAAAGCUGCUUCUUUCCUUAGAUCAAGGGAACCUGCAAGAAGAGGGCGGUAAAACCUUGGAUGAAAUCCAGUUUUCAUUGGAUAACGAAUCAGAAGAAGAUGAUGACUGGAGAAAAUUUUGAAGAAAAAAAUAAAGAUAUAGAAGAGAGAAAUGCCCCAUGUUUGCCUCAGAUAGGA